UACGGGGGGGGCAAGCGUUGUUCGGAAUUACUGGGCGUAAAGGGCUCGUAGGCGGCCAACUAAGUCCGACGUGAAAUCCCCAGGCUUAACCUGGGAACUGCGUCGGAUACUGGAUGGCUUGAAUUCGGGAGAGGGAUGCAGAAUUCCGGGUGUAGCGGUGGAAUGCGUAGAGAUCCGGAAGAACACCGGUGGCGAAGGCGGUCUGCUGGGCAGUUGCUGACACUGAGGCGCGACAGCGUGGGGAGCAAACAGG
rnacentral:rRNA from 1 species